rnacentral:rRNA from 1 species
UGACGGUACCCUACUAGAAAGGAGCCGCUAACUUCGUGCCAGAAGCGUCGGUAAUACGGGGGCUCCAAGCGUUAUCCGGUGUUAUUGGGCGUAAAGAGUCGUGUAGGUGGUUGGGUAAGUUAUCUUUCAAAUAUCUUUGCUUAACAAAGAGGAGGGGGAUAAAUACUGCUCGACUAGAAUUUUCUCAAGGGAGAUCGGAACUGAGGGAGGAGUAGUGAAAUUGCGUUGAUACCCUCGGGAACACCAUUGGCGUAGGCGGAUCUCUGGGAGAAGAUUGACACUGAGACACGAAAGCUAGGGGAGCGAAGCAGAUUAGAGACCUGCGUAGUCCUAGCCGUAAAACGCAUGCUUGCUAGCUGCAUGAAUCUACCUUCGGGUGGUAUCGUGUGGCGAAGGUAACCCGUUUAAGCAAGCCGCCUGGAAAGUACGGCCGCAAGGCUGAAAUUCAAAGGAAUUGGCGGGGAGGCACACAACCAGUGGAACAUGUGGUUUAAUUCGAGACUAACCGAAGAACCUCACCGGGGUUUGACAUGUAGCUGCACGUCUUAAGAAAUUAAGACUCUCUUGAAGGUGCUACACAGGUGCUGCAUGGCUGUCGUCAGCUCGUUCCGUGAGGAGUGCCCUUAAGUGGGACAACGAGCGCAACCCCUAUUACAUGUUAGAAAUGUCAUGUAAGACUGCCUUGCCAUUUGGCGGGGAGGAAGGAGGGGCAGACGUCAAGUCCGCAUGGUCCUUAUGCCCUGGGCUACACACAUGUUACAAUGAGUACGGCAAUGAGUCUGUCGCGAGCACGUAAGUGUAAGCUAAUCUCUUAAAUGUACUCUCAGUGGGGAUUGAGGUCUGCAACUCGACCUCAUGAACACGGAAUUGGUAGUAAUCGCGGGUCAGCUAUACCGCGGUGAAUACGUUCUUGCCUCUUGCACACACCGCCCGUCAAACCAGCAAAGUCGAUUGUAUCCGAACCUC